rnacentral:tRNA from 1 species
AGGGGCAUAGCCAAGCUGGUAAGGCGGUGGAUUUUGGCUCCAUGAUGCGAAGGUUCGAACCCUUCUGCCCCAACCA